UUGUAAGCGAGCGGUGCCAACUUCCGCGGCGAGCGCCUCUUGCCGUAGCCUCGGCCCGGCCCGCAGCCCCCGCAGCCCGGCGUCAGGAGCAAGGCGCACGCGGCGACACACGUUAGCAGCCUUGGGAGCAGCAUUCCAGCCCGGACCGAUGUCCUCCUCCCCCACCCCCACCCCCGCCACCCCAGGGCAGGUGGUCAGAGGGUCAAGUGCCGAAGCGAGAAACUAUAGUUUGGACCUUCACAGUGCUGGGAGAAGAGCAGCACUCCCACCCGAGUCCCCCAAAGCUGCCAUUGCACGCGCGUAAGAUGGUGCGCGCCGCAGACGAGGUGCAAAGAGGGAACCUGCCAGCCUGCUGCCGACAAUCUAGUGUCCCGAGGCCACUUGGAGGCAGGGGCAUAAAUAGGCGAGGUGAGUUUGUCUUGGCAGGCGCGUUCAAAGCGGUCUCUCAGUCAGACGCGGAGGCGCGCGGCGGUCCAAGGGUGUCCCCGCAUGCAGCUCAAUGUUUCCCUGUUCGUCCGGGCCAUCCGAGCGUUUGGCAGUGCUGCCGGAGCAGGUGAUUGGACUACCGCUCAACUCCAGCACCUGGUAUUCCUAGGUGGUCUCCCAUCCAAGUACUAACCAGGACAGACCCUGAUGAGCUUCCGAGAUCGGGCAUUCUCAGGGUAUUUGUGGGCAAAAGGCAAAGAAAACAUGCAAUUAUGUUACAGAUUUUCUGCCAAAAUGAAAAGGAUAAAUACAUUAAGCAAAAAACAUUAAGUUGACAGACUAUUUGCCUUAGUGGGCUCCCAAAAAUUAUGUGGUGGGACAGAUCUGGCCCCCGGUCCUCAAGUUUGACACUAGCUAUUGCAAAGUCUGUGCUAGCUGAUUUGCAGCAAAUAGUCAAUUGCUUACUUCAGUCAGGUGAGUUUCCUAAAGUUCUUAAAGUAACCGUCAUUAA